rnacentral:rRNA from 1 species
UUCCGGUUGAUCCCGCCGGACCUGACUGCUAUCGGAUUGAUACUAAGCCAUGCUAGUCUUUGUAGUAAUACAAGGCAUACGGCUCAGUAACGCGUAGUCAACCUACCCUAUGGACGGGGAUAAUCUCGGGAAACUGAGCAUAAUACCCGGCAGACCACUUAUCCUGGAAUGGUUAGUGGUUAAAAUGAUUCGUCGCCAUAGGAUGGGACUGCGGCCUAUCAGCUUGUUGGUGAGGUAAUGGCCCACCAAGGCGAUUACAGGUACGGGCUCUGAGAGGAGAGGCCCGGAGAUGGGUACUGAGACAAGGACCCAGGCCCUAUGGGGCGCAGCAGGCGAGAAAACUUUGCAAUGUGCGAAAGCACGACAAGGUUAAUCCGAGUGAUUUCUGCUAAAGGAAUCUUUUGUUAGUUCUAAAAAUACUAGUGAAUAAGGGGUGGGCAAGUUCUGGUGUCAGCCGCCGCGGUAAAACCAGCACCUCAAGUGGUCAGGAGGAUUAUUGGGCCUAAAGCAUCCGUAGCCUGUUCUAUAAGUUUGCGGUUAAAUCCAUAUGCUCAACAUAUGGGCUGCCGUAAAUACUGUAGAACUAGGGAGUGGGAGAGGUAGACGGUACUCGAUAGGAAGGGGUAAAAUCCUUUGAUCUAUUGAUGACCACCUGUGGCGAAGGCGGUCUACCAGAACACGUUCGACGGUGAGGGAUGAAAGCUGGGGGAGCAAACCGGAUUAGAUACCCGGGUAGUCCCAGCUGUAAACGAUGCAGACUCGAUGAUGCAAUGGCAUAGAGCUAUUGCAGUAUCGCAGGGAAGCCGUUAAGUUUGCCGCCUGGGAAGUACGUACGCAAGUAUGAAACUUAAAGGAAUUGGCGGGGGAGCACCACAAGGGGUGAAGCCUGCGGUUCAAUUGGAUUCAACGCCGGG